GCAGACAGCUGUUGCAAUAUUUAUUUUUCACUCUUCAUAAAAAUAUAAUAAUCAAUAGUGGUUUGUUACAGAGUCAAAAAUUUCUGACCAGUCCUUGGAACAUGAUCCAGCCCCGGUGCUGAUCCAUCAGGCUAAUGUGUCAUUAAAACUCUGUUUGUCAAAGCUGAUCUUUCCCAAGGUGACUGCGCCCCGGCUCUGCGAAUGCACCCACUUCAGAUCUUGCUGGUCAAGCAAAGUCUCUGUCCUUGUCCCUGGUUGAUGUCGAACAAACUCCAGGAUGAUGUUCCACUCAUGCAGGAUGAGGGAUCAGGGUCGGGGAGGGGUUGGGGAGGGGUGGUGCUCCAGCUGCAGGUGAGCAGCAGAAACACCCCUGACCUUGCAGAUCAGAAACUCUCAAGAGUUUGGGAUCAGGCUUAGCCGAUGACAUAAUUAGCACUUCCUUGAGGGAGAGGAGAGAGAACUUUAUUUUGGUCUGGUAACUCAUUCAUCUGGCUACCAGUCAAGUAAGAUGCAAACGUAUGAUUUCAAAUAGCUAU
rnacentral:lncRNA from 1 species